rnacentral:miRNA from 7 species
CAUGGGUCUGGUUGGGCCCGCA